rnacentral:tRNA from 1 species
GGGGGUGUGGUGAAAUGGUAUCAUGAUGCUCUCCAAAAGCAUUGUUCCAGGUUCGAAUCCUGGCGCCCCUG